CUUAAAACACCAUGCUCAUCUUCCCCACUAAGCUCUAGGCUCAUUCCCUGCCUCAGUCAUCCCAUGACUGGGUCACCUCAACACUCUGGGCCACAGUCUGCUUCUUUUCAUACCAGGAAGUUAUAAGCGUGUCAAAGGCCAAGAAUUCCCUUGUCUCCCAGCUGGGGCAUGGUCAACUGAACUCACUUGGACUUGUUACUUCCAAACUGGUGUUCGUAAUGUGUGCUGUGUAUGGGAAUGAUGGCUGUUUGAGUUCACUGAGGUGCUGUCUCCAGAACGAUGGGCCGUUGCUCCCCUAUCCUCCCCCCUAGUGCACUGCAACUUUCAAACCCAAGCAUGUUUGAAACAACAAAGUGUCCUCCAUGGCUCCUUAUUUGGGAAUAGGCUGGCCUGCGGACUCUGUGAGAACAAAGCAAGAGAACGCCAGAACAGAGUCAAAACAUCGUAUCCAUGAGAACAGCUAGGUCAGCCGUUUCCAACAGAGGUCACACUGUUUAUCCCAAGAUAGAAAAAAAUGUCUACAGUGGGCAAGAGAUAAAGACUCUGGAAGCUCAGCCGUGGGAAGCUCAAUGUGGAGAGAAGGCUCAGUUGGGAACCCCCUGCUACCUGCCUCAACUUCCCCAGUGGGUUUCUGGUAGAUGUUGAGAGUGAGCGGUUGGACGGCAUCGUUGCUGUGUGUUGCUAUUUGUUCUUCUUGGAAACCUUACCAGACAGGACGCUUUGCUUUGACCGAGCCUUUGUUCAUCAGACAUUCUGGCCGGCACCCCCAGUUGAUUUUUGCUAGAUGUUUUGAUCACCCCAUCCAAUGAUAUUUAAAUACCCGGCUGUCUCUUGCUAUUUCCUCUUUUACUUUGGCUUACCAUGUUCUUAGUGAACUAGGUCGUUCAAAAACAGAAAGAACGGCUGUCGUAAAUCAUUCUCUGGCCCAUACAAAACGGUGUCAAGGAGGAAGGGUACCCUUGCCUCUCCCCAGCAGAGCCUCAAAGGUAAUUUUUAAAAGUAAUAGGAAUAGAAAAGUAAGCCGGGGAAAGUGAGAGAUGGUGAUGGGUGAGCGGACAUCCUUCGAACCGGCCCUCCCUCUAGCACAAUCAGUUCUUUCUAGAACCAGGGGAGGAAGAACGGUGGGUGCUGCCGCUUUUCCAAGCCCCACAAGCCCCACAGCAUUGUUCGUUGCUCAUAAAGUGUCUUUAUGUCACCCUCUUUCUUUCCCCUGAGGUAUUUGGCCUGAGCAACUUCACAGAUAAGCUUUGAAAAGUGAAACCAGUUUCCACUCUUGCAGCGGCAGCCCUAGGGGUCCUUCGGGCAUUAUCACCAGCCAUCUAAGUUGACAGCUGUGAUCUUUACUGUCUUGUGCACCUGAAAACUACAUCAUGACAUUUAAGCCAUGCUCGCUAGCUGAGAUGGCCCCAGCAGCAGCCACAAAUCCCAGGCAGAAUGGAAAUGCUAAAUUCCGUGUUUGGGGCUUGAUUUGAAGGGCAAGAACACUCAGAUUCAUGAGGCUGAACUUCUAGCAACGGUUAACCUUGACUGCCAACUUGAUUGGGUCUGAAACUAAUUAAACAACAUGCCUAAGAGCAGAUUAGUGAGACGAUUUCAAGGAUGCUUUAACGGAAGGGACUCUCCCAUGUGUAUGUAGGACCUUCAGCCCAGAGGUAAAGGAGUCCUAGGAAAAAGCAGUGCUCCACCUACCCACCUUUACUUUCUGUUGAUGGCCAGAGGAGAAGGCAGACACUUGGCAGAAAAAAGUCAUCAGGGUUUGCUGCACAAGUGUGAGGACUUGAGUUCGAACCUCAACACCUGCAUGAAAGCUGGCCCCAGCGAUGAGCACCUGUCAUUCCAACCCUGGGGAGGCGGAGACAGCAAGUGCAGCUGAUGUCCACACCUGCUGGGGCCAUGUGUGAAUGGAGACACCUACUACAGAGGAGUGGGAGGCUCUCAACAGGGUCAGGCAACAACAGCUCCCCAGGGAAGGCGGUGUGAAGGCAGCCCAGCAUUGACCAUCUUAAGGAAGAGAGCCCGUUCCGGUCAGUGAGGUGGCCCAGCAGGUAAAAGUGCUUGCCAUCAAAUCUGGGACCCAUGUGAUAGAAGAAGAAAACUGACUCCA
rnacentral:sRNA from 1 species